GAUGAACGCUGGCGGCGUGCCUAAUACAUGCAAGUCGAGCGAACAGAUGAGGAGCUUGCUCCUCUGACGUUAGCGGCGGACGGGUGAGUAACACGUGGAUAACCUACCUAUAAGACUGGGAUAACUUCGGGAAACCGGAGCUAAUACCGGAUAAUAUAUUGAACCGCAUGGUUCAUUAGUGAAAGACGGUUUUGCUGUCACUUAUAGAUGGAUCCGCGCCGCAUUAGCUAGUUGGUAAGGUAACGGCUUACCAAGGCAACGAUGCGUAGCCGACCUGAGAGGGUGAUCGGCCACACUGGAACUGAGACACGGUCCAGACUCCUACGGGAGGCAGCAGUAGGGAAUCUUCCGCAAAGGGCGAAAGCCUGACGGAGCAACGCCGCGUGAGUGAUGAAGGUCUUCGGAUCGUAAAACUCUGUUAUUAGGGAAGAACAAAUGUGUAAGUAACUAUGCACGUCUUGACGGUACCUAAUCAGAAAGCCACGGCUAACUACGUG
rnacentral:rRNA from 1 species